GAAUUCGAUUAACGCGAAGAACCUUACCAAGGCUUGACAUCCUAGGAACCUUUUGGAAACAGAAGGGUGCCUUCGGGAGCCUAGUGACAGGUGUUGCAUGGCCGUCGUCAGCUCGUGUCGUGAGAUGUUGGGUUAAGUCCCGCAACGAGCGCAACCCUUGUCGUCUGUUGUAUUUUUCAGACGAGACUGCCCGAGCCAAUCGGGAGGAAGGUGGGGAUGAUGUCAGGUCAGCAUGACCCUUACGCCUUGGGCCACACACGUGCUACAAUGGCCGGUACAACGCGCUGCCAACCUGCGAAGGGGAGCUAAUCGUAUCAAAACCGGUCCCAGUUCGGAUUGAGGGCUGCAACUCGCCCCCAUGAAGUCGGAAUCGCUAGUAACCGUAGGUCAGCAUACUACGGUGAAUACGUUCCCGGGCCUUGUCACACCGAAUCACUA
rnacentral:rRNA from 1 species